ACACAUACACACACUAACUGCCGAGGACACACAGAUAAGACAUACACCCACACAUUGGGAGGAAGAGACACAGCCUUGACUUGCAGACACAAGCACACACACACAAUCUCCUUCCUAGCCGAACAUUGUGUGACUGAGAACGGCACGACGAGACCCGGAGGAACGACGGACGGCUCAACAGGACCAAUCCAAGAAGACAACACCUCAACUGUGGCCAACCAAAAGACCGGGACUUCCAGACUCAACCCACUUUCUGUACUGUACAUAACAUGCUUGCAAUCUGUUAUCGGGGCUUCUUUCUGCUGGUUCCUUGUGAGCCAAAUGAAUGAGCCCGUAUACGUUGUACCAGAUAUCUUUACUCUGAAUAAACUGUCGCUUGUCAUACAAUUUACCACCUUGUCUGAAUCGAUCCUUGACCGACUCACCCUAUCUACAUAUCCCAUUAUCAACAGAAACUUGGUAGCAGAGUGAUGGUUAACUAACGACCCAGUCCAGAGUGGUUGAUGUGGGUGUGAGGGGGCGAGUUGGUGGAAGGACGGUUCGCGGAGGACAGGUGAAGACAUUCGGGGGAGGACAACAAUUCUGCUCAACUCGGUAAACUGAUCACAAGGUUGACCAUAAACAAGGUAAGCAAAACCUGUUAAAUCAAACUUUGCAUAUUGUCGCAUAGUCUAUCCAAAUUUGAUCAGUAUUACCGGGUGUGAGUAUGAAUUCUUGUUUAAAUUUAUAUGCAUAAAUGACAUGAGAAUGACAGUGAAGUAAACAUAUGUGGUCGUAAUUCUAUUCAAUAAGUCCUGCUGUGACAGGUCCGACUGAGAUCGGUAAGGGAUAGAAUUAUAAUUCUAUUCAAUAAGUUCUGCUGUGACAGGUCCGACUGAGAUCGGUAAGGGAUAGAAUUAAUAAGUGAUAAUUCUAUUCAAUAAGUCCUGCUGUGACAGGUCCGACUGAGAUCGGUAAGGGAUAGAAUUAAUAAGUGAUAAUUCUAUUCAAUAAGUCCUGCUGUGACAGGUCCGACAGAUCGGUAAGGGAUAGAAUUAUGAUUCUAUUCAAUAAGUCCUGCUGUGACAGGUCCGACUGAGAUCGGUAAGGGAUAUAAUUAAUAAGUGAUAAGUCUAUUCAAUAAGUCCGGCUGAGACCGGUCCGACUGAGAUCGGUAAGGAAUAGACUUAAAUUGUGCUGUGAUAAGUGUAACCAUUCAAUAAGUCCGGCUGAGACCGGUCCGACAGAGAUCGGUAAGGAAUAGGUUCGGGGUGUUCGAGAAUUCUCAAAUGUAUGUGCAUAAGUGUUAAGUGUCUACUGAAUGAUAAAUUGAACGAAUGCUUAGAAAAUGUUUUAGAUGUGUCGACUAUAUCGAGUGAAUGUUUAAACGAUGUUUUAGUUGUGUUGCCAUAUAAUCUAUUGGUUGCGCAUUCCACAACGCCGUGUAAAUUAAACAACGCAUAUAAAAUUCUGAGUGUGCGAGGGAGCAGCUCUGAGAUAAGGCAGAGUACGUGGCUCCAGGAAUUCAUCACGGGUAUUUACCAGUGACGGGCUAAGUAUACUCAGAUAGUCUGAAUAUAUAUUUCAAUUGGUCAAAAUAUACAUAUAUAUUUACUAAAACAUACAAUACAUGACAAAUGGUGACCCCGACGUGAUCUGAUAAAAGGACAUCGCUGGACAUUGGUGUGCCAGCCGAUUGGCCAGUACUGUCGUCGGACGGUGUGUCUCACAAAUCCUGACCGGUCAACUAAAAAGGGUAAGCAGACACCUGUUGUGAAAAACUAAAGUUCUGCACAUUGGAGUUAUCCAAAUUUAGUUUUGUGAGACACCUGUUUGAUGUAAGUUACCAAAUUUAAACUAUUAUGAUGUGUGAGAUUGGAAAAUAGUUGAGAAAGUAAUAUCUCCAUUGGCAACUGCAAUUUUAUUAUUGAUCAACCAUACUUAAUGGUGCAUUGUGUAUGGGAUGUACUAGUAUGCCUGGCUGGUAGGUGGUAACAGAGAACACUUACUACAUGUAUGAAUGGUGGGUAACGGGUGACCACCAAAGCUUGAAUGGAUAGUCUGGGACUACAUGUAUGAUUCAUUCUAGUUGAUUAUAAAAGUGUGACUGGAUAGUCUGGGACUACAUGUAUGAGUGGUGGGUAACGAGUGAUCACCAAAGUGCGAAUAGAAAGCCAUAUGAUGCGAACGUGAUGUACUAGGCAGGGCCAAGUGUGAAUGACGGAUAUUUAAAUUGAUUACUCGGACUUGAGACCGAUUUAGCCUUUGGGAAAGGGUCUCUCUAAGGUCCAAACAAAGCAUAGGUGUGUGUGAAGUACAUUGGGUAGUGAAGUCGGCGCACUAACUACCAAGUUUGAGUGAGACAUUAAGUUGUACUAGAAACAUGAUCCGGUUGACACGUUAGUCAUAUGGAGUGAUUGUAUUUUUUAUUUUGUACAUUUGGUAUUGAAGUAAAGGUGAUAAUCCGGGGGACACUAGACUUCUUAAUACCCUAGGGGACCCACAGUGCAUAAUUGAGUUCUUACUUUAGACCUAAUUGGGGGCCGAUUUAGCCGUAGGGAAAGGGUACCACUUGGGUUUUAGUAAAGGCAUAGGUUGUUGACAGUAUUGUAGUGUACAUAAAAUGUCGUUGGAAAUAGAAAAGGUGUUGAAAAUGCUGAAGUCCACUCUAGAAUUAAAUGAAGGCAGAGAGGGCAAGGAGUGGAAGAGACGGGGUGAGAAGCUGUACAGAGAAUGGACAGAAGGCGGGGCCAUUGCAUCUCCUACUGGUCUGCUUGCUGGGGAGAAUAAAGAUUUGUGUGUGUAUGGUGUAAAUUGAAGUUUACUGGCGUAAAUGAAGAUUUGUGAGACUCAAAUCGUGUGCAUGAAAUACGCUUGAUAUUCAGUCGGGGACUAAUAUCGGUAUGAAUGAGGUCGGGGACCAAGCGAGUGUGGUACAUUAGGUAUUUCAGUUGGAGCUGGUACCGGUGAGAAUGUUGAAAAAGUCGCAGGCUUGCUGAUGAGAGUUAUAUCAUAGAAUAUUGAGGGGGUGUGCAUGACUGUUGGAAAAGGUGUUAAACUCUAUUAACGUAAAAUUCUGUGUGUAGAUUUAUAUUAUGAGGUUUGAACUAUACUAAUAUUGUAGAAUUACAUAAUCAACAUCUGAACAUACUUACGUUAAACAUUAAUUGAGCCACUGAGUAAUAGAUAAGAUAUACACUAGGUACGGGGCGACGGGUGUGGUCGAUGUAAGACGGGAGUGGUGUUCUAUCCAAGUGCUGAGAAAUAAGGUAGAUUUAUUUUGUUCUUUUAAUUAAUUUACACAAGUACUUCCCGGUUAUUGAUUUUGGUUUGAUUGUUCAGAUAACACCACUGAAAUUAAACAGGAGGUUAAGGUAUACUAACAUUAGAAUCUGUUUUCAUUAUGGGGAACAAUGAAAGGCCCGCAGAGGGGAUUGCAGGCUGAUGUUUUUAUGUUAAAGGGACAGUGCACGUUUAUCACAGUUGUGUGUGUGUCUAAUGGCUGGGUAUUCAAGACAGAUCGGGGAAAAGGCAGGCGGAGGGGCCCUCCCCCGCACUGCAGAGACCUUGAAGGUUGGAGAGAAGAGAGGAGAGGUUUUGGAAGGGGAGCCAGGACAGGCAAAGAUAGCAGUUGCUGAGUGGAGACAGGGGGGAGAGUUGGACAUGUGGAAAAUGAAAGGGGCGCUCCUACAUGAUAAUGUCAGAACAGAAGGAUAAUAUACUAAUCUUACCUAAGUCAUUAUUUAGAGUAGGUAAGGUUGUUACCUGGGCAGAGCCAGGUAUCAAAAGGGGGAUGGGUAAAUUGUGGUCUAGGAUAGGAUGGGGCCUAUUGGAUAAGAAACUAAUAAUUUUAAAAUAAUGUAGCUAACAAAUGGGCAUAGAAGUUAAAGAUAUAAUCAGAUAAAACAUAUGAGAAAUUGUUUGUUAACCAAGCCUGUAUGUCCAGGAUUUUAUGCAUUACAGGUGAACUACAGGUGAAGUCACUCAAUCCAGUCCCAGAGGCUUGGGGACCAUACCAAAGACUCCUGGUGACAGCUAGCUGAAAGAGCUACCCAGAUUCAUAUCGCACGGCGGGAGGAAGUGAAGAUGUGUCUGGCUCUUGCUAAGUGAUGUGUUCUUGGGGAAAGGGUGGGGCUUCAAAUGGAAGCUGUUCGUCUGAGCUGUCUUAUCGUGGGUGACAUAUUCCUGAUACAGCACGUCCUACUUGAGUAUGCGGAGAGUGGUAAUUUGACCCAUGGUUUAGACGAUGAGGAUUUUGUUCCAAAAUAAGCAUAAGAGAUCCCUAGAUCUGGGUAGACAGGAAGUUAGAGUAGAGAUUACAUGAUAAACGACUUCGGAUUGGAGAAGAGGGUAUCCUUAUAGCAUAGGGGAUCCCACAAAGGUGGAUAGGUUUUCCAUGAUAUGGGAAAACCUGGGAGCACUGUUGAACUUUGUAAAGGUGAUGAAAUCCUACUAACCAUCAAAACUAUUAAGCUCUCUGAUGCAGGCACUUACACCCUCGGACUACAAAGGACGAGGACAGACAUGAUGGGUGUGUUUUCUAUUAAGGUGCUGCCAAAACCAGAGGUCCCAGACGAACCAGGGCCAGACACACUCCUCUACCACCCCUGGACCGAACCUGCCACCUACCACCACUGUGUUAAAAAUACCAUUCAGGUAAUUAAUGUUAGAGACUAUUCAGCUAUUGAUCAAUUAGGCACUGAGACUGGUUUUGAUGGUAGGGACAAUUUGUGGCUGUCUUAUAUGAGGUACACAGCUAAAACCCUGAGAAGAAAGGACUGCAUUAUUUGUAGUCAUGCUAGACCUGUUCUGGCUACACACCCAUUUGCUGUAGGAGAAGGAGAGGGGUGGUUGUGUAUUCUGAGAAGUUUUUACCAGGUUAAGCCCAAUUCAACCCUCUGUUCCUCUUUGAGCCUUGUGUUUCCUGCAGUACCUCCUCAUCGGGCCUCUUGGGGUGUUGAGGCAUAUGGGGGCAAUUACAGUUGCAUCACGGGUACAGGUAAUGGCAUUGAUUAUGGGAGAUUGCCUGAAGCUGAUUGCAGUAGUAACAUAACCAUUAAUUCCACUUGGCCAGUUACAGGCCUAAACCAAACUAGUGGUCUGGCUGAUGUGUGGUGGAUGUGUGGAGCCAAAAGAGUGCUGAGACCCAUUCUUAGAGGAGAAUGGCAAGGUACGUGUGGUCUGACCAGUUUGAUAAUUCCACUGACCAUUGUUGAUGUUACUGCUGAACAGCUGUUGGGUUCUGUAUCCAGGGGACCUGAAAACAUUCCAUCCCAUGGGAGACAUAGACGUAGUGCUCCAUGGACAGAGGAUGUAGUUGACAUACACACUAACCUGUUGGGAGUGCCAGUGGGGGUUCCUCAUGAGUUUCAGGCCUUGGGUAGGAAUGAUGGACUCUGGCACUUACUACCUAUUAUGGGUCCAGCCAUAGUGGAUGCUAGACAGACUGCAUGGAUUAAUUAUAUCUACUAUAAUCAACAGCGUUUUGUGAAUUACUCCCGUGAUGCACUCACUGGUAUGUCUGAACAGCUUGAGGCCACAUCUGGGGUUUCCAGACAGAAUAGACUUGCCUUGGAUAUGCUUCUUGCCAGUCAGGGGGGCGUCUGCAAGAUGUUCGGUAAACAAUGUUGCACGUAUAUUCCUAAUAAUACCAGUCCAGAUGGUAGUAUAUCUAAGGCCCUUAAUGGGCGUGAUGCACUAUCUGCUAAGAUGAGGACCAUGGCGGGGGUGGAGGAGUCUGACUGUUCAAAUGAGUUGGGAGCCUGGUUAGGUAAGUACACUGGUAUGGUGGUUACUGGAUUUCUGACCCUAAUUCUUGUAUUAUUUGUUAUUGAUGUGAUGUGCUGCUUGCAUCAUACCGUGUUUUAAGAAGUCUGUUACAGAUGUGGUGAAUGCUUCAGGCAUGAUGCCUUUGCUUGAUGCUCCAGUUGGAGAUGCUGAUACUGAAGCAUGCUUUCAGGGGAGGAUGGGACUGACUGAGGAUGACACAUGGUAUGCUGUGGGUGAGGUAGUAGAAUACAUUUUACACCACCACAGUUCCUUGUUAUACAUUUUAUGAUAGGUUUUCUUUCCAGUAUGUUUGUUCUCCCUGUUGUGAAGGUUUAGAGUCCCUGGGUGGCAAGGAGCCCACCUGGUACAGGAUAGGAGUAGCUGAGAGGACCAGAUGGUUUAUAAUAAUUCUUUACUCUGUUUUCCAUGACCAAAGUUUUAUCCUACAUCUUACAUGUCAAUAAACAAUAAAGUCUUAUCCUGUUUUUGUCAACAGGGGGAGACAUAAGCAUAUAUCACUUGAUUUUUAUUUUUUCUUGGUUGAUUUUUAUUUUCUGUAAAAAAAAUAUUAAAAAAUAAAUAAAUAAUAAUAAUUAUAUUUUAUUAAUAAUAAACUUUUUAGUAUUUUCUUGAAAUGCUAUUAACAUAUUACUAUGUUGGGACUGCUGAAAUAAAGGAUAAUGAGUGACACCCUAGCGGGUGUCAAAAGGGGGACUUAAAUUGCACACCAUUUUCUUUUGUUCUGUUUUUGAAUGAGCUGUUGUUCUCUUUUGACAUGAGGGUUGUAAGUUCCUAGGUGGCUGGUAGCCAAUCUAGUACAUAGUGGGAUCGAAUGGAGGACAUGAAGGUAUUUUAAACUUUGUAACUGUUAUAUGAUUCAUUGCUGAAUUUUUGUUCACACCCUUGGGGGAUCCUGUAUUUUACAUUAUAGCCAUUACCAUAUAUAUGAUUGAAUAUUAUCUGCUGUUGCCUUGUGUGGAUGUAUGUAUGUGUUAUGCAACAUAGCUGACUUGAAACAUUGUUCAAAGUUUCAAGGCCAUGGGCCUUUCUCAUGAUGGAAAAGUAGCAUGAAGACAGGAACUGUUCAAUGAGUUGGGAGGGGGAUCCCGUUGCUUUUACUGCUUUUUGAGCUUCUCCAUUCUAUGUCGUGCCUCUUCUGAAUUGGGAAGAAGGGGCAUGUGGACCAUUCCGCCUGACUUGCCUAGUUUAUGUCACAUCUCUUAGGAGAUGUGAAGAGAGGGAAUCACAAAACUUUUCCUUCUGGGAAAAGUUUUCUUUUUGUGUCUGGAUCUAGUUAGGUUGUGUCACGUCUCUGGGGAGACGUGAAGAGAGGGAUUUGUAAGGAAGUGCUAUUUCUUAUGCAAAUGACCAGCUUACUGCUAUUACAUUGCUAUAACUGAGACAACGUAUUUUCACAGUGAAACAUGUUAGGUCCCAUACAGGAUAGCUUCCACACCCACACACACACAGCACACACACAUACACACACUAACUGCCGAGGACACACAGAUAAGACAUACACCCACACAUUGGGAGGAAGAGACACAGCCUUGACUUGCAGACACAAGCACACACACACAAUCUCCUUCCUAGCCGAACAUUGUGUGACUGAGAACGGCACGACGAGACCCGGAGGAACGACGGACGGCUCAACAGGACCAAUCCAAGAAGACAACACCUCAACUGUGGCCAACCAAAAGACCGGGACUUCCAGACUCAACCCACUUUCUGUACUGUACAUAACAUGCUUGCAAUCUGUUAUCGGGGCUUCUUUCUGCUGGUUCCUUGUGAGCCAAAUGAAUGAGCCCGUAUACGUUGUACCAGAUAUCUUUACUCUGAAUAAACUGUCGCUUGUCAUACAAUUUA